ACCAGCAUAUAUUCAUACUUCUGAAGUUAGAUUUUAAGCUGAGUAUAUAGCAUAUACUCCCGGAGUUCUUCUGUAAUGUGAAUUUUACACGAGAAAGUAUUAGAUAACUUCAAACACAAUGAUCAAAUCGAUUUCUAUAUAUUCUUUGUACUAAAUGUUGCUGUUCGUGAUGCAUUUUAAACAAUAUUGGCCACAAUUAACCUCCGCCCCUCAAUGGAUGUAUUAUAGACUAGCUCUUGUAUGACAAAGUUCUGAAUCAAUUCAUCCACAUUCUUGCUCAAAGUUCAAGAAUCUUACUUGUCUAGACAUGGUGUUCUCUUCUAAUAAUGAGGUUUUAUUUUAUAAAUCAUGGUGUUGCUAUGCCUGCUAGAAUAAUUUGUUGUCAAAAUGGGUUCCCGUGUCUGAAAGAUGCAGAUCUCUUGCACUAGUAUACAGCAGCAUGUAUCUUGGAUCAGUUACCGGUUUGGCAUCUUCACCCAUGUUGAUCCACAAUUUCAGGUGGCCAUCUGUUUUCUAUUCUUUUGGAUCCCUUGGAAGUACCUAAGGCCUCACUUCCUUCGGCCGCAUAUCGUCUGAUGGAGGUUUUGAAGUUCAGCCUUAGCCGUGUUUGCAAACAUAGGUGGUUGGAUUACUGAUUUCCUCGUGAGCAGAGGUGUUUCCAUCAUAACAGUUCACAAGUGUUGUUGGGUAGGACAGCGUUUGAUGCUGUUCAUCAUACAGAUAUAGUUGGGCUUAAGUGUAGUGAGUCUUCUGCAAUUCUCUUGUCACAUGAUGCAGCAAUUGGGUUUCUAGGCCCUGCUUUCUUCCUUACACAGACUUAGUAAUGAGAAGAUGCCCGCUUUAGCAGUGCUAUGCAUGGUGUGCAGCCAGGUUCAAGCCAUUCUUGUUGCAUUCUCCCCUUUUAUCUCACAACUUGAGACAACUUGUGUAUGAUUUUUCUACAGGGUUCGGAUGCAUUCUCUCAAUCUGGAUUAUACUCCAAGAAUCACCAAGAUAUUUAGCCACGUUAUGCAGGAGUACGAUUGGGUCUGUGCUGGUGUAGUUGCCGGCGUUUUUGUGACUGCUGCAACUGGAUACAUACUUUAUUUUCUUAAGAUACUCUUUUGGCUUUAUGGUUCUUAUUGGCAACUUCUUACCGUAUUUGGUCUAUUACCGAUUGAUUCUUGCUUUAUCUCAGGUUCUUGGGACGAUGUGUUCAAAGUGGCUGUUGCAUUGUACAUCAUAGGCACAUUAGUGUUGAACUUCUUUUCCACAGGAGAGAAAAUUCUUGACUGGGUUAGUCAGAAUAUGUAAAAAGAUUUGUUAAUUUACCAUGUAAAGAAUGCAUCUAAAGAAAACUUAGAGGGCCCCAGUUCGAAUAAGUUGAACAAAACCCCCUCUAAACACAACAUUUUCUUUUCUUUAGCUUUUUUAAUUACAGUCCAUCAAAUGCCAAAGAAAAC